AGUGAACGCUGGCGGUAGGCCUAACACAUGCAAGUCGAACGGCAGCACAGUAAGAGCUUGCUCUUACGGGUGGCGAGUGGCGGACGGGUGAGGAAUACAUCGGAAUCUACUUUUUCGUGGGGGAUAACGUAGGGAAACUUACGCUAAUAUCGCAUACGACCUACGGGUGAAAGCAGGGGAUCUUCGGACCUUGCGCGAUUGAAUGAGCCGAUGUCGGAUUAGCUAGUUGGCGGGGUAAAGGCCCACCAAGGCGACGAUCCGUAGCUGGUCUGAGAGGAUGAUCAGCCACACUGGAACUGAGACACGGUCCAGACUCCUACGAGAGGCAGCAGUGGGGAAUGUUGGACAAUGGGCGCAAGCCUGAUCCAGCCAUACCGCGUGGGUGAAGAAGGCCUUCGGGUUGUAAAGCCCUUUUGUUGGGAAAGAAAAGCAGCAGGUUAAUACCCCGCUGUUCUGACGGUACCCAAAGAAUAAGCACCGGCUAACUUCGUG
rnacentral:rRNA from 1 species